rnacentral:lncRNA from 1 species
UGUGGAUGUAUGUAAGUGUAGACAUAGAUGUAGAUAGAUAGAACUGAUCAAUAGUGUUUAGCAGAGUUUCAUUGAAUCAUCUUAGCUCAUGAGCGAGCAAUAAGCCAAACCACGUAUACCCUUUCAAAUCCUCUCUUCCCAUCUAUUUUCUGUGAUUGUCUUCUUUUGUCUCCUUGCCUGUGGAGUCCUUGUCUGAAUAUUUAUUAAAUAUGUGGAUUCUUUUUAACUUGCUAAUCCUUAUCCCACGAGUGAAAUCCAAAACAAGAAUCAUACUAUACGCAAAUAAAUGCACCAGAUACUCUUAUCAGUUUUUGCAUUGAAAUACGCUUAAAAUUCACCAUGCACACCAAAUCCACUUGUUGAAUCAGAAACAAUCAGGCAUCUGGGUUCCUGUUCUGUGCUUGUGGG